rnacentral:misc_RNA from 1 species
GAAAUGCGAUAAGUAAUGUGAAUUGCAGAAUUCAGUGAAUCAUCGAAUCUUUGAACGCACAUUGCGCCCGCCAGUAUUCAGGCGGGCAUGCCUGUUCGAGCGUCAUUUCAACCAUCAAGCCCCGCGCUUGUGUUGGGGACCUGCGGCUGCCGCAGGCCCUGAAAACCAGUGGCGGGCUCGCUGUCACACCGGGCGUAGUAGAUUUUAUCUCGCUCAGGGCGUGCUGCGGGUUCCGGCCGUUAAAAAGCCUUUUUUACCCAAGGUUGACCUCGGAUCAGGUAGGAAGACCCGCUGAACUUAAGC